AAAUUGAAGAGUUUGAUCAUGGCUCAGAUUGAACGCUGGCGGCAGGCCUAACACAUGCAAGUCGAACGGUAGCACAGAGAGCUUGCUCUCGGGUGACGAGUGGCGGACGGGUGAGUAAUGUCUGGGAAACUGCCCGAUGGAGGGGGAUAACUACUGGAAACGGUAGCUAAUACCGCAUAACGUCGCAAGACCAAAGUGGGGGACCUUCGGGCCUCACACCAUCGGAUGUGCCCAGAUGGGAUUAGCUAGUAGGUGGGGUAACGGCUCACCUAGGCGACGAUCCCUAGCUGGUCUGAGAGGAUGACCAGCCACACUGGAACUGAGACACGGUCCAGACUCCUACGGGAGGCAGCAGUGGGGAAUAUUGCACAAUGGGCGCAAGCCUGAUGCAGCCAUGCCGCGUGUAUGAAGAAGGCCUUCGGGUUGUAAAGUACUUUCAGCGAGGAGGAAGGCGUUGUGGUUAAUAACCACAGCGAUUGACGUUACUCGCAGAAGAAGCACCGGCUAACUCCGUGCCAGCAGCCGCGGUAAUACGGAGGGUGCAAGCGUUAAUCGGAAUUACUGGGCGUAAAGCGCACGCAGGCGGUUUGUUAAGUCAGAUGUGAAAUCCCCGGGCUCAACCUGGGAACUGCAUUUGAAACUGGCAAGCUUGAGUC
rnacentral:rRNA from 1 species